GUCUGCAACCAUCCCUGCAUACCACCCUGAACAUGGGCUGCCUUGUCGGACUUUGGAAGCUAAAUAUGGUGGGGCCUGGUUAGUGCUUGGCUGGGAAACUGCCUGAGAAUACCGGUGCUGUAGGCU
ensembl:rRNA 5S_rRNA 5S ribosomal RNA